AAAGGGAGACCUAAUUCAGGUAAAAGACGAAAAAAAGUAGUCGCUACCAAGAAUCAAUCCCAAAAGGUCGGAGCGAGGCGAAAUUGGCUUUCAAACUAGGUUCUGGGUUCAAACAAGACCUGAAUCAGGAACAAGGGCUAUUAGCUCAGGUGGUUAGAGCGCACCCCUGAUAAGGGUGAGGUCCCUGGUUCGAGUCCAGGAUGGCCCACCUGCACAGGUGGCAAAAACAAGAGAAGCGAGGAAUCAGCACCUUAUCUUACUUAGAUAGUAAGAGAGAAUGCUGGCUCUGAGUAAAGAGUCCAGAGGAACCUUGAAAACUGCAUAGAGCUAGGUGAAAAAGCCAAAAAAGAAGACCGCAAG
rnacentral:tRNA from 1 species